GGGAAGGCGGAUGAAAAAGGAACGAGGGGAAACGGAGAGAAUUAUGAGGACCCAAAUGUAGCGUAUCUCAUUUCUCUCUUUGGGAGAUCCAAUACAAAGCUGUCUGGAGCCGUCAUCCUCUAUAUAUACAUCUGCGUUUUCAAAGAUUGGAUGCAAUAUUGCUGUAGAUGACAGCUGUGGAAGAGAAGAUGACUUGAGUCAUGGAACUCAUUUACUUGAACUGAAUUGCCAAGUGGAAACACUGUAUUUGUCUUUUUAAGCUGAUUUUGGUUUAUUUGUACUCAUAUGUAUCAUUACAGUGUUUGUACUCAGAAUUUAUUUUUCCUUUACUUGAUCACAAAACAGCAGGAUUAUCGUUGGGUCAUAGACCUUAAAGGGUUAAUAUUUUAAAAAUCUUUACCAUAUCCUUUUCCCCCAUCCUUUUCACUCCAGUUCAAUCCUUUCUUCAGAAAGAGAUUCCAGAAGGCGAGAGGCAGUACUUUCUGUUUGCCUUGUUUCAUGUUAAAUCAUUCACCCACCCAUUUUCAUACAGCUUUAUCCAAUUUAGGUUAGUAGGAGAGCCAGAGCCUAUCCUGGCAAGCAACAGGCGCAAGGCAGGGUACACCCUGGAUGGGACGCAUGUCCAUCACAGGGCACACACUGACACAAACACUGUCACAUUUACAAAAGGGAUAAUUUUAGCAGGUGCCCAUUAGCCGGCCAGCAUUUUGUGGUCUUUGGACUGUGGGAGAACACCGGAGCACCUGGAGGAAACCCACAUGGGGAAAACAUACAAAGUCCAUGCAGAUAGCACCACAAGUCUGGAAUUGAUCCUAGGGCCCCAGCACUGUGAGGCACAAAUGUUAUACACAGUAUAGCCCUCAUGUUAUUAGUGAAUUAUUCAUUCACUUAUGACUGCAUGACAGCAAAUGUGAGCAUGAACACCUUGGUAAACAGAAAAAAGAAACAUUUGUAACAUUUCUGAUGUGAAGCACUUGGAAUGUAUCAAGGCUUUAGGUGUUUGAAAAGACCUGAGCAGUGCAGUUUUGUGCAGUGCAGUGUAGGAACCUAAGAAUAGUAAGAGAUGAGAAGAAGUCAUUGAACCCUAACCCAUGAAUAGUUAGAAAUUUAUCCCAGAUCCUGAAACUGAUCCAAACCAGCGUAUUGGCGUCAACACAGCUGCGUUCUUUGUUCCAUACCCCCACCACCCUUGGGGUAAAAACGUGCCCCCCAAACCUUCUAGGUUUUAAAUGUACUUCUGUGUCCUUUCCAUUUGUGUCUUCUGGUUUGUGUUUCACUGUUCUUUCUGAAGAAGUCUACUGGGUUGACUUCAUCAAAUAUGGAGAUUUGUAUCAGGUUCCCUCAUAAUCUUCUCUGUUCAAGACUAAAAGGGUUAAUUUUUUCUGUGUGUCAUUAUAGGUCAUUCCCUCAAGCCACAGAAUGGGAAUAGUAAUCUGGAUGGUUUUCUCUUGAAUGAUUCAGCUAGAUAAAGAUAACAGCAAUAUCUUUUUUACAACACGGUAACCAAAUUUGUUAUAAAUAAGGCCCGACAAGUGAAUUUAACAAUUUUAACAUAACACUCCUUGAUUCAAAUUCUGUGCCUUUAGCAAUUUAUUUGAACAUUUUGUUUGCCUUCUUAAUCGUUUCUGCACAUUAUCUUAAAGAUAUAAAUGAUGUGUCAGCAUAAACUACCAAGUCUUUAUCAUAAGUAGUUUUUUUUUAGCUCAGUGUUUUCCACUUUGUAUUUAUAGUUGAUUAUUCUUCUGUCUAUGUGCAAAUCCUGCACUUGUUUACAUUAAAAGUCAUGUGCCAGGUGUUUACCCAGUGUUGAGUUUUAUCUAAAUCUUUUUUAGUUUCAUUUCCUGCUUUACAGUUUGCGAAUCCAUCUAAUUUUAUAUAAUUUGCAAUUUUAACUAGUUGCUAACUAUAGCAGAAUCUACAUUCUAGUAAGUCAGUAAGUAAGUCAAAUUCUUAUUUUGUACAUUAGCUACUUUCUGUUCAUUG